ACGUUUCCUAAAUUAAAGUUCAUAAUGUAAACCCACUUAUAAAGCCACCAUCAACCUUUUCCAUCAUAAAUAAAGAAUUCAUAAUGCAUUUUCCUCAAGGGUCAUUGAGGCAUCCAUCCCUUACAAAACUUAUGUAACAAUAGGGACAAGGGUCAUUAAGUUCAUAAUGCAAAAUAACUUUUAAUUGCAGUUGCAAAAUUGAAUUUAGGGACUAAGGGUCG
rnacentral:lncRNA from 1 species